CACUCUUGUACAGUAGGUGGCAGUAUGCACCUGAUAGUUGCUUGCAAUCCACCAUUAAGAUACAUUUUGGAGUUUUUGAGCUUGUUAAAGCGGAGGUUCAAAAUUUUUGACAUCAGACUUAAUCUUCAAGUUAGCGGGACUUUAAUUAGUCGGUGGAGUUGAUUUCAACCAUUUCCGUGCAGUUUGUUAGUUAUAAAUUUCAGGGCUCCGUAGUGGCUGAGCUAGCGCAAAUCAAUGGUGCCAUCCUAGCAUGCCAAUAAAAACGAUAUUAACAUAUCUAACAUGGUCAAAUAAAUUCAGAAUGCAGAUCUUUGUUGAAAAUACCCAUUCGGUCAAAACAAUGUCAAACCAACAAUGUCACACCAAAUUGCCGUAAUUCAUUUAUUUCUGUGGGACUAUUUUUUUUAGAUGCGUAAUGCGACCACAAUAGAGAGGAGUGCUUCGGCCACUCGUGCUCAUGCUGCAUUGGAGGAAGGUGGGAAGUUGGACUUAUCCCACUCAGGUGGUACCAGUUGCGACCUCAAAGCAUUUCAAGCGUUUUGUUAUUUUGGCCAUCAAAAGACAUGUUGAUUUCCAGCAAACCUGCCUUCUCGUAAGUGAGCAAAUAGUGGAGGAAAAACAACAGCUAAGGUACAAUUGCACUUUCUCAAUUGAAACUGACCCCGGAGAGAAGGAUGUCACCAGAUUCUACUGCUGCUCCCUCCCUGCUGUCAACGUACACCACCGCCUCCUUCAUCAGCACGUUGUCCAGUUCUCUCCUGUCGGGACUGCAAGCUCCAACCGCUGUCCGCCACGUGGGCUCCCGGUUUGACCCACUUUCCAAAGAGCACCGGCUCUGAACUUGAAGUCACCGUCACAAUGACAUCAGCUUCCGUCACCGCUGUCUUAGCGGAGUCACACAGGGUAACCGGACCACUGACGGAGCUCUGAAACCUGUCCAUUCCGUCUUUCCUAUGGCCCCACACGCGCACCUUUCAUGUAAAUUCCAAGUUAAAAAUGACAGAAUUUUCACUUUCCUGCUGUGCAUUAAUAGAGGAAAACAUCAGUAAAGGCCAAUAUUUCCAAAAAGUAGGUAAAAAUUUCUGUAAGCAGCAAUUUUUAAAUGCCAGAAGUGUUUUAGCCAAUCAAAUGUCAGUACAGUGGUAUGAAAAAGUAUCUGAACCUUUUGGAAUUUCUUAGAUUUCUACAUAAAAUCACCAUCAAAUGUAAUAUUUGUUAAAAUCACACUGAUGAUAAAACAGUGUCUGCUUUAACUAAAACCACCUAAACAUUUAUAGGUUUUCAUAUUUUAAUGAGGAUGGUAUGCAAACAAUUACAGAAGGGGGAAAAAUUUGUAACUGAACCAUCACAUUUAAUAUUUUGUGCCACCCACCCCCUUGGCAGCAAUAACUUCAACCAGACGCUUCCUGUAGCUGCAGAUCAGUCUGGCACAUCGAUCAGGACUAAUCUUGGCCCGUUCUUCUCUACAAAACUGCUGUCGUUCAGUCAGAUUCCUGGAAUGUCUGUCAUGAAUCGCUGUCUUUAGGUAAUGCCACAGCAUCUCAAUGGGGUUCAAGUCUUGAUUUUGACUUGGCCACUCCAGAAUGUGUAUUUUAUUCUUCUGAAACCAUUCUAAAGUAGAUUUACUUCUGUGUUUUGGAUUAUUGUCUUGUUGCAGCGUCCUUCCUCUUUUUAGUUUCAACUGUCUGACAGACGGCCUCAGGUUUUCCUGUAAAAAAUCCAGAUAAACUUUUGAAUUCCUUUUUCCAUUAAUGAUUGCAAGUUGUCCAGGCCCUGAGGCAGCCAAACAGCCCCAAAUCAUGAUGCACUCUCCACCAUGCUUUUCAGUGGGGAUGAGGUGUUGAUGUUGGUGAGCUGUUCCAUUUUUACUCCACACGACGUUGUUUGUUACUCCCAAACAAUUCAACUUUGGUUUCAUCAGUCCACAAAAUAUUUUGCCCAAACUUCUGUGACGUGUACAAGUGCAACAAGCAACGAGCAACAAUGUUUUUUAGACAGCUGUGGCUUCCUCCGUGGAAUCCUCCCAUGAACACCAUUUUUAGCCAUAGUUUUACAUAUAGUUGAUGUGUGUACAGAGAUAUUGGACUGUGCUAGUGAUUUCGGUAAGUCAUGAGCAGACACUCUAUGGUUCUUUUUUAAUCUCUCUGAGUAUUCUGCGCUGAACUCUUGGCGUCAUCUUUGGUGGAGGGCCACUCCCUGGGAGAGAAGCAACAGUGCCAAACUCUCUCCAUUUGUAGACAACUUCUCUAACUGUCGAUUGAUGAACAUCUAGACUGUUAAGAGAUGGUUUUGUAUCCUUUCCCAGCUUUAUACAAAUCAACAAUCCUUGAUCGCUGGUCUUCAGCAAGCUCUUGUGACCAAUCCAUGAUGCACAUCAGACAAUGCUUCUCAUCAAGAAUUUUUAUGUUUAACCGUUUAAAAACAUUUUUAAUUUAAACCACUCAUCAGUGACUGUGCACACAUCUGACUUAAAUUGUUUGGUAAAAAUUGGUUUCAAUUGCUCUUUAAGUCUCCUUAGGCAGAGGGUUCACUUACUUAUUUUUCCCCCUUCUCUAAUUGUUUUAUAAUAAUAAUACUUUUUCAUACCACUGUAUGUGAAUAAAAAGAGCUCUAUCUAUCUAUCUAUCUAUCUAUCUAUCUAUCUAUCUAUCUAUCUAUCUAUCUAUCUAUCUAUCUAUCUAUCUAUC